AUAACCAUGGUUUCCAUUUUUGAAGGAUGGCAGCUCAUCUGGUUAUGUAUUAAAAUAUUGCAGUUCUUUUAAUAUUGUGAAAAUAUUAAGAUCAUUGCUCAUUAAAAAAAUCUAACACAGAAAAAAAAAAUUCAAUUUAAAAAGAAAUUAUAAAUGUGUCUACAGGAUACCUUGUUGGAAUGCCUUAGAAACAAAUUUAAAAAAGAAAGGAUUCCCUUGGUUAGCUCAUCGAUCGUCCUGCAAAUGAAGGAGAAGUAUGGGAUUAAAAGGAAGUGUGCUGGACAAACAGAUUCUGAGGAACUUAGUCAACAACAAGAGGAACCCAAAGGUGCUACACCAACCAUAGUGUUUAACGGCUCUCCUGAUCCCCUCAAGGCUGAAAGCGUCAGCAUUAUAAUGGACAAUGUGAGCAUCAUAAGAGAGGCAGACACUGACAUGACACAGGCUGUGGAAUGCCUAUUUGCAGUUUAUUUUCUCUUCAAUGUGCAAUACCCGGUUGACAUUAAGCACACAAUGACUUUUAUUCAAAAAUAUAUGCUUAAACUUAGACAAGAGCAUGGCAAAAGAACACCAAUACCUGUACUGAAAAUGUACAGUCAACUUGUGUAAAUUGUAGAGCUAUUUAAUAGUUGUUUUAAUUG
ensembl:lncRNA